rnacentral:rRNA from 16 species
GAAACAGUGGCUAAGACUGGAUAGGAAGAUAAAAGGCAUCUUUUAUCUUUUAAAAGACCUAGUAAUAGGUAUGCUUUAGGAGGGGCUUGCGCCAUAUUAGUUAGUUGGUAGGGUAAUGGCCUACCAAGACGAUGAUGUGUAGCUGGACUGAGAGGUUGAACAGCCACAUUGGGACUGAGACACGGCCCAAACUCCUACGGGAGGCAGCAGUAGGGAAUUUUCGGCAAUGGAGGAAACUCUGACCGAGCAACGCCGCGUGAAUGACGAAGUACUUCGGUAUGUAAAGUUCUUUUAUCAAGGAAGAAAAGCAAAUGGCGAACCAUUUGUUUGCCGGUACUUGAUGAAUAAGCCCCGGCUAAUUAUGUGCCAGCAGCCGCGGUAAGACAUAAGGGGCAAGUGUUAUCCGGAAUUAUUGGGCGUAAAGGGUGCGUAGGCGGUCUAGUAAGUCAGUGGUGUAAUGGCAACGCUUAACGUUGUCCGGCUAUUGAAACUGCUAAACUUGAGUUAGAUAGAGGCGAGUGGAAUUCCAUGUGUAGCGGUAAAAUGCGUAAAUAUAUGGAGGAACACCAGAGGCGUAGGCGGCUCGCUGGGUCUUAACUGACGCUGAGGCACGAAAGCGUGGGGAGCAAACAGGAUUAGAUACCCUGGUAGUCCACGCCGUAAACGAUGAGUACUAAGUGUCGGGUUAAACCGGUACUGAAGUUAACACAUUAAGUACUCCGCCUGAGUAGUACGUACGCAAGUAUGAAACUUAAAGGAAUUGACGGGACUCCGCACAAGCGGUGGAUCAUGUUGUUUAAUUCGAAGAUACCCGAAAAACCUUACCAGGUCUUGACAUGUUUUUGCAAAAUGAUAGUAAUAUCGUGGAGGUUACCAGAAACACAGGUGGUGCAUGGUUGUCGUCAGCUCGUGUCGUGAGAUGUUAGGUUAAGUCCUAAAACGAGCGAAACCCUUAUCGUUAGUUGCCAGCACGUUAUGGUGGGGACUUUAACGAGACUGCCAAUGAUAAAUUGGAGGAAGGUGAGGAUCACGUCAAAUCAGCAUGCCCCUUAUGACCUGGGCUACAAACGUGAUACAAUGGCUGUUACAAAGGGUAGCUGAAACGCAAGUUCUUGGCCAAUCCCCAAAAACAGUCCCAGUCCGGAUUGAAGUCUGCAACUCGACUUCAUGAAGUUGGAAUCGCUAGUAAUCGCGAAUCAGCAUGUCGCGGUGAAUACGUUCUCGGGGUUUGUACACACCGCCCGUCA